rnacentral:rRNA from 1 species
AUUGAACGCUGGCGGCUUGCUUUACACAUGCAAGUCAAACGGUAACAGGUCUUCGGAUGCUGACAAGUGGCGAACGGGUGAGUAAUGCAUCGAAACGUGCCCAGUCGUGGGGGAUAACGCAGCGAAAGCUGCGCUAAUACCGCAUACAAUCUAUGGAUGAAAGCGGGGGACCGUAAGGCCUCGCGCGAUUGGAGCGGCCAAUGUCAAAUUAGGUAGUUGGUGGGGUAAAGGCUCACCAAGCCAACGAUCUGUAGCUGGUCUGAAAGGACAACCAGCCACACUGGAACUGAAACACGGUCCAAACUCCUACGGGAGGCAGCAGUGGGGAAUUUUGGACAAUGGGCGCAAGCCUGAUCCAGCAAUGCUGCGUGCAGGAAGAAGGCCUUCGGGUUGUAAACUGCUUUUGUACGGAACGAAACGGUCUGGAUUAAUACUCUGGGCUAAUGACGGUACCGUAAGAAUAAGCACCGGCUAACUACGUG